ACGAGGUUUUAUUCAUGUCACGUUCUUUUCGUCUACUCGGUCUACUACUUAACGCAUCCAGUUUGCGCGGUAGACUCGUGGGCGAAAUCAACAACUGAUUCGAACCUGCUGAAAGUUAAAAAACCCGCGCCACUGCGCGGGUUUUUUU
rfam:Pantoea dispersa strain SA5 contig_3, whole genome shotgun sequence.